CCUACGGGGUGCAGCAGUGAGGAAUAUUGGUCAAUGGACGAGAGUCUGAACCAGCCAAGUAGCGUGAAGGAUGACUGCCCUAUGGGUUGUAAACUUCUUUUAUAUGGGAAUAAAAUGUUCCACGUGUGGGAUUUUGUAUGUACCAUAUGAAUAAGGAUCGGCUAACGCCGUGCCAGCAGCCGCGGUAAUACGGAGGAUCCGAGCGUUAUCCGGAUUUAUUGGGUUUAAAGGGAGCGUAGGUGGAUUGUUAAGUCAGUUGUGAAAGUUUGCGGCUCAACCGUAAAAUUGCAGUUGAAACUGGCAGUCUUGAGUACAGUAGAGGUGGGCGGAAUUCGUGGUGUAGCGGUGAAAUGCUUAGAUAUCACGAAGAACUCCGAUUGCGAAGGCAGUUCACUGGACUGCAACUGACACUGAGGCUCGAAAGUGUGGGUAUCAAACAGGAUUAGAUACCCUUGUAGUC
rnacentral:rRNA from 1 species